rnacentral:tRNA from 1 species
CCUGGUGGCUCAGAUGGUAAAGCAUCUGCCUGCAAUGCGGGAGAUCCAGGUUCGAUUCCUGGGUCAGGA